GGGUGCAAUCAUACCAAUGUUAAUGCAUAGGAUCCCAUCAUAACUCCACAGUUAAGCGUGCUUGGGCUAGAAUGAUCUUGAGAUGGAUGACCUCCUAGGAAGUCCUAGUGUUGCACCCU
rnacentral:rRNA from 1 species